GCACACCCCUUGGAGAGGCAUACAGCAAAGAGGUGGGGAAGAAACGUGGCAAUGGAAUUAUCUUUCAAAUAACUGGAAGGCUUUUCCAUCCUGAACCCAGAGGACAGGCUAAUGAAAACUGGUUUUCUGACAACGCUGAGUUACGAGAUGGCAGCACCUGUUGGACUUCAGUGAAAAUAUUCUUGUGGGCUCUGGUUUGCACUUUUUCAAGCCAUGGCUGAGGGAGUGCUGAAGUGUGCAGGGAGCAGAAGGUCCAGCCCAGUGUGGAAGGGUUGGCUGGAGCCUGGUUUGGAUGUCAGUGCAAACAGUGCCACCCUGGUAAGUCCAAAACACUUCUUGAAAGGUGAGCCAGGAAAGGAGAAGGGUCUGGAAGACCUGAGAUAUGUUACCAUGCCCCUCCCUCCCCCCUGCUGCUGGGGAUGCUCCCACAGCAAGGACCUUGCUGUGCUGGGUGCCCUGUGCACAGGUCGGGACAUGCUGCAUGAUUAAUUGUCUGCAUGAUUAAUGUCUGCAGAUGGAGGCUAAACAGGGAUCCCAGAGUCACAGAGCUGCUAAGGCUGGAAAAGACCUCGGAGGUAAUCGAGUCCAAGCAUUAACCCAGCACCACUGUGCUCACCACUAAACCAUAUCCCCAGGUGCCACAUCCAUAUGCUUUUAGAACACUUCCAGGAAUAAUGAUUCCACCACUUCCCUGCUGCACCCUGAGUAGGUUUAGCUUUCUUAGUUAGCUUUUUUUUCCCUUGACUUGUUGUUUCCCUGUUUGUUUCCCUGAAAAUGGAAAAUAUCUUCAUUUUCUAAUUUUGAUAAUUCUAGAUGAAAUUGUGCAAAUGGCUCCUCAGACUUGACAAAAGACCUGUGGGGUAAUGCAGUGAAGCUUACUCUUUAACAAAAUUACCACAAAUUGUGCUAAGAGCAUCAUAGCUUCAACUAAUGUAAAAUAAGCGAAGGUUUUCUGAAAAGUAGUGCAUCCAUUUAAUGCUUAUCUGGAAAACUAAGCAUACUUAAAUGUAUAAUAAAUAAAAACAAAGAACUUUUGGCAUUGUCUCACCUUUUUCCCUUGACAUGACUUUAUUAUCUAUUAUAACCAGGAAAAAUCUUUGUAUUCCAAAGAGAAGGUGUUUUUUAAAAAUACACGUGAAUAACAUAAAUAUUACUAUGGUGCAAAUACUCAUUCAAUUAUCUUUUUAUCUUAUUUUUUAUGGUUUUGGUAUAAGUUUCUGUUUAAUAGAACUCUGAAGCUCAGGUUGCAAUUUCAUGUCAGGUUCAGUGUUAGCCCCUUUACUGGUAAAAAGAGAAAAUCAAUCUGCUUUUGCAAUGUAAAUGUAGAGACAUAGAAUUGAAUUAGUUGAUAUUUCUCAACAUCUGAGAUAACAUAAAUAGGACCAUAAUUUUCCUUGUCACUUUCAUGUAUAAGUGCAGGAGAGGUCCAGGCAGGAAUUCUUACUUAUGUAUCCCUUACAUCUUCAAAGUGCAUGAUUUGUGUGCAGUCAUAAAGAGUGGACAGCUCAUAAUUUAAUUAUUUAAUCCAUAAAAUCCAUUUAAAAAAAGAAGGAAGAAUAAAGUUAAUGCCUUGUUUACAAUGACUUUAUGAUAACUCUCAUGUACUCAUGCAUUCAUUAACAGAAAACAGGUUUCUAUAAGGGCCCAAUUGUGUUUUGUUUCAAUCAACUCUGAAAGGAUAAUAAAAAAAUAGGAAAAACAAAGAUAAACCAAAUAAUAAAAAUUAAGUAAAAAGGGUUCUGAAGCCACAUUCUUGGGCUUAAAGAAGCAUAUUCUUACUUUUUAUUGUUCCUGAGUUAAAAAUUUACUAAUGCUCUUUAAAUUUAAGAACUGUUCAGUUGAUUACACACGACUUGACUGUGUAAACUUUUGAGUUAGAAAAGGUACUUAAAGCAUAAUAAGAACUCAUUAGUAGCAUUAAAGGAAAAUAGAAAAAAGUUUGUAUUUAGUAGUCAUGACUCUAAGAAAAGAAUUGUUCCACAAACCAUCCUGGCAGAAAAAGGAGCCAGGAAAGCACAGGCCUGAAGUCAGUUGAAAUUCAGCGUCUCUGUUCCACCAGCAGGGAACCUCUGCCUCCCAGAGGGAACUUUCAUGCAGGAGGGUAAAGCUGAAUUCUCCCAGAGUAAAGGAGGAUGUGCCCCCAUCCAGUGAGGUUCAUGCUGGGCAUGAAGUGCAGGUAAAAUCAGUCUUUUUAUUGGCCUGGGCUGUCUGCUGGGCACACACAGGAAUGCAGAAUGCCAAAAGAGAAGAAAAAAAAAAUCAGCAUCUGUUUUGCCUGGUGAUAACACUCUUAUUUUAUAUCAUGCAAUAUAUAAUGUAUAUAUUUACAUUUUUCAUUAGCAAUUCAAGUGAGAAUUGGUUGUUAAAUUAGUUGCAAGUGCUGACAUAUAAGGGCAGAUGAUUUGUAUUUUCUUAGAGAUGUGUAUGUAGCAUUUUCUGAAGGAGGUGGCUUUGGUACUGUUAUGCAUGUGAACAGCCUGGAAAUUCCAAGCUUUUAUCUUUUAGAGAAAUGUAUUACUGUUAUGGGCAAAAUGGAUCUAAAUAUCACAAACUUUUAUGUAUCUGUCUGAAUCCCAGCUGAGAGGCUAGCUGUGGGGUAUCUCUAAAAUAAAAAUGUUUAAUAUUCACUUUUUGUCAUCAAACAUUUACUUUAGUGCUAUUAAGUUUUGUCUUUUUAAACCAUGAUGCACCCUUCAGUAGGAGGAUGAGGCCCUACUCUCUUAUUGUCAGCUGUGAAUGCAACUCAUUGUUAAAGUCUGUGUGAUAAAUUUAUUUCAACUUUGUCUCCUAAAGGGGUGUCAUUUUGCAUCUUUUCUGCACUGAACAUUUUCACUGAGGACCAUGUCACAAGGGAGGUAUAAAACACAAGUAUAAAAUCAGGUAUUUGGAUUACAAGGUAAAUAUUUUUGGCUGGUAUUUAUUAUUACUACUUAGCUGUAGUGAUGAAGCAAAGAGACACUGAUAAUUGCAAAUUUGAAGAGUCUCUGUUUUGAAAAGGCAUUUCUAUCAGAUAGACUGGUAGAAAAAUAUUCAUCAAUCAUUUAGGUCUGUCUCAGGAAUUUAUUAACUUUUCCAUAAGCUGUAUAUUUCUGCCUAAUUAUAUCAUGAAUAAACAGCUGCAAUAAACAGUGAGAUUCAAUCUUCUGAAUAAGCACAUAACUACAUUCUUCACUAUUUUCUGGUUUUUGACAGCUUAGCAGUUAAACUGGAUGAACAUGGAAUAUAGUACAUGAAAAUGGAUGAGAAAGAAAGUGAUAAUGUAGCAUAUUUUCUCCACUUCCUUCUGAAACAGUGUAAAGCAAUCAGUUCUAAAAACCUCUGUCCAUGUAUUAGUUAAUCAAUACAAAUGUUCAGCCUGCUCCAAGAUAUUUUAACACCUGUCAGAGCUAGCUCAGCAGUCAUUGUUCAAAGCUUACAUGGAAGCAAAAACCACAACAGAAAACCUUUCCCAUCUCCAGGGGAUUAUCUCUAGGGAGGAAAAAAGAGAGAGUGAUUCUGGUUACUAGAAACGAGGGGGGGAACAGAGCUCCAAUUCUCAGAUGAUCCAAUUAUGAUUAGAAAAACUGUGUAAAAAAAAAAAAAAGUAGAGCUUGGAGAGUGAGGAAUUUAAUCAUGAUUAUCUGCCUCUUGUGAGGCAGUGUGAAAAUCUGCCAAACCCACCUUUGCUUAGUUACCCUGAAGUGUGGGAGGGAAGGGGAAGCAAAUGCAAAAUGAUGCACCGGGGAGGCGCCGUGAUAGAGAACAACAAGGGAAAUAAUUUCCUCUCAUACUGGGAAAAAGAUUCCUUUUCAAGACCUGUGAUAUUAUUAAUGAGGUAUGAAACUCUAGCAAAGAGCUUUGGCUCUUGUGUUGCUACCACUGCUCCUUGGAGCAGUAGAAUACAGUUACAUUUGCCAUGGGGUUAACAACAGAUCCCUGACUCGUAUACACCAUUCCCCUUCCUCUUAUACACAUGUUUUAUGUCACAUAUAAAUACUUGUAUUUCAUAUUUACUGUCUAUUACAAUAAAUAUAUUAGUUGUCAGGCUUAUUUUCUCCUCUCAUUCAAAUCACAUUGGGCUCAAGCAUGACAAACAAGUGUGAUGCAUAUUUUCUGGAGGUUUAAAAACAUAUCUGAAAUCUGUCCAGCUCUGUUGUUAAAAGUGUAAGUUAAAUGUACCAAGUGAUAUUUGGCCUUCAGAAAUGGAAGUGGGGAGGGUUGCCUUGACACGGUGGACCUGAAUUAACAUACUAUACUGUUUUAUACAUGAAUGAAUAAAUAGUAUAUUAACAAACUGCUUUGUACAUAUGUAUUUCUGCCUUUAUUCAUUACUUCUAAGGAACCUGGGGAUUGUGGUCUGACUGCACACAAGGUAGGUGCAGGUACAGGUAGGUACAAGCACCACAGGCACCACCCAGGACCCUUCCCUGGGCUCUCAGGGAUGCAGGUUUCCCUCAUCCUUGUGGUCGCUCCUUCUAGGAGACUACUGCUCAUGUCUUGGUGCCUUCUGUGAAGAGGACACUUGCCUGCUACAGAAGCAAAGGGAUGUUGUAUUUAUCCUGCAUUUCUUUCACCAAGUGGAACAAGACAUGACAUUUUUCAAGCUCCUCCUCGCCGUUGCUGUUGAUUCAGCCACUUGUCCAUGGCAGUUCCUGUGCCAGCAGGCAGAGCUGGGCUGGGACAAGCAGGGACACAGUGUGUGCCCCAGCCAUAUCCAUCUGUUUGCACUGAGUGACCCAGAGUCACUUCUUCAGCUCCACCUGCAUCUAGCUGAAAUAAUGAAGUUCCCCUAUUCCCAAACCUGCCUCCUGAGACCAAUUUUUCUGUGGAACUGCCAGGGCUGGAGCAGCUCUGCCCUUGGCCUGCCCUGCUGGAUGUGACACCUCUGUCUGCAUCUUGGAUUGGGGGUAUGUUGGAUGUUGUGAAAGAAAAGGCUAAAGGAGAAAUACCAUUGCCUGCCCACUCCUGGGGAAGUUACGAAUCCAGGAGAGUGUGGACUAUGAAAGCCAUUAAUAUUCUGCAGAACCUCACCCAGGCAGCAGCAUACUUUUUUUCUGGCUAUGUGCCAGACAGGCAAUGAAGUGCUCUAAGGGCAGUGAUCCUGAUAAUGAGUUCUUCAUCACCUGUGAGGUGCUAAUCCUGAUCCUUUAGAAGGGUUUUUUUUCUUAAAUUAUUAUUAUACGUCUCUACCCAUAUAUUCAUGCCUUAGUGUGUGUAUCUGUGUCUGUGUACUCCCACCAGCAGACAGCUCCAGCAAGCCCAGCCAGGCCAGAUCAGUGCUGAGCCCAGGUGAUUGCUGGCAGUGACCCCAUGGUCCUGCUACUCGUGCAGCAUCUCUGCUUGUUAAUAGGUCUGCUCCCUUGCUUAGAGUCACUUGUUCAAGCCAUGGACAAAUUUAUGGAUCAUUAGAUUUAUGCAUAGAUUAUGUGGUGAUGAAAAGCACCCUACUGACAGUACUGAGAGCUGAUGCACAUUAUCCUGCCAUGAGCAACACAAGCAGCAACCCUGCAGGCAAUUUCUUGCAAAACUAGAGAUUUCCUUAUGGUACCUGAAGAGUUUUUUUGGUGAGGAUUAUUUUCCACACUGGUCCAGUAGGAGGUUACAUGAGUUCAGAGCUAUGGAAACCUCAAGAGUUUUCUUCCACUGCACAGCAAUGACAUGAAUUAUUUUAUGACAUUGCCAUCGGGGUCUCUUCCUUAGAUAGUGAAUUUCGCAAUCAAACUUAUAGCUAGCAAGGAAAAAAAAAAAGAAAAA
rnacentral:lncRNA from 1 species